GUGCUCUUCAGAAGCACAUAUCCUAAAACUGGAAUGACACAGAGAAGAUUGGCAUGGUCCCUACAGAAAGAUGACUUGUAGCUUCUUGAAGCAUUCCAUAUUUUU